rnacentral:rRNA from 1 species
UACGUAGGGUGCAAGCGUUGUCCGGAAUUAUUGGGCGUAAAGAGCUCGUAGGCGGUUUGUCGCGUCUGCUGUGAAAACUCGGGGCUUAACUCCGGGCCUGCAGUGGGUACGGGCAGACUAGAGUGCGGUAGGGGGAGACUGGAAUUCCUGGUGUAGCGGUGAAAUGCGCAGAUAUCAGGAGGAACACCGGUGGCGAAGGCGGGUCUCUGGGCCGUAACUGACGCUGAGGAGCGAAAGCGUGGGGAGCGAACAGG